GCAGGCAGCGUGCUGGGGAGCACGUGAAAUCUGUGGGAGCACGAGGGAUCCCGCGGAGCACGUGCAAUCCCCGGGAGCAGGUGCAACCCCAGGGAGCCCGCAGAAUCUGGGGGAGCACGUGGAAUCCCGGGCUUGUGGGACCGGGGGCAUGGCUCCCUGACUUCCUGAAAUGAAAGCGCCGAAAGUGAAAUUCAAACUGGCUUUGGCAUGGAAAAAUAGCGGCCAUGAAGGAAGUUCGUAAAUAACUUCCAUGCUCUUUUUCUCCUUAAUGCUCACGAUCUCAAAAUACACAACCCAUCAUUCACAGCGGAGAGUGCCCCUGCUUCCUGGCUCCGAGUGUGGGCAUGGUAAGAAUACCCAACUCCGGGCUCUUUCAACAACGGAGGAAGAUAAACCCCGACAGUGUUUUUUCCAGCAGAGAGAGGAAGCGAGAGAAUGAAUCCCAAGCAGGCUCUGCACAGUCAGCGCGGAGCCAGGCGCGGGGCUUGAACCCACGAAACGUGAGAUCAUGACCUGAGCCAAAAGCAAGGGUCAGCCGCUCUACCGACUGAGCCACCCAGGUGCCCCGCCUUCUGGAAUCUGGAGAGCAGGCAAGGUGUCUUUUGUUAUGCUAAUGAGGAAGCCCCCCCCAGGUAACCUGAGGUUUUGGGCAGGUUGCCCCAAGAUUACGAUUACGUGGUUGGAACUUUCCACUUCCCUCCAGACUCCCAGGAGAGGAAAGGGGAUGCAGAUUGAAUUGUUACUAAUUGCUAAUGAUUUAGUCAAUUAUCCUACGUAAAGAAGCCUCCGUGAAAACAGGGUUCGGGAGAUCUUGCAGGUUGGGAG